GAGAAGAUAGAUAUUUAAAUGUAUAUAGGCAAUAAAUAAACACGUGAUUAUACUAUAGGUAUAAUACUUAGAAUCAUUUAGACUAUAAUAUUCCAUAAACAGUUGUAGAAUUCGUAUAUAGCACAUACUUUUAACAGUACUAAUAUCUACUCUUUUCUAAUACAAAAUAGGAAAUUACUUAAUUUAAAGAAAAAGUAUUUUUUCUUAAUUUCAUUGGAGCUUUGUCAAAGUAUGCAAUGGUGUGUUUCAUACUAUAAUCCAGAAUAAUUUAAAUAAUAAUAUCAGAUUUUUAUUUUGAGCACAAUUUAAGAUAUGGAAAUGAGCUGAAAUUUGGAAAUGUGGAAAGGAAACGAAAAUAAUAUACACAGAUGUAUGAAAACAUGAUAUAAAACCUUUUAAUCAUUCAAUAUUUUUUUAGUACUUAGCUGGUACAUCUUUACUUAGAGCGGCUGCAAAUCUGCGACUGCAUAGCGAACUACAAUCUUCCUCGGUCAGCGCAAACUGAGCAGCAAAAUGCUCAGCACUUCUCAUUGAUAAAUGAUAAUGAACUAAAUCACAACUAAAAUAGAAUUCAAAAUAGCGUGCAAGAGCAAAUCCACAAAGAAUUACCCCUUGUACGCUAUUUUGAACUCUAUUUUAGUUGUAAUUUAUUUAAUUAUUAUCAAUUCAUCUAUGAAAAGUGAUCUAGCAUUUGGCUGCUCAGUGUGCGCUGAACCUCGCCUUAUGAUUUUAGUGAAUAUCAUGAAUGUAAAGUAGACAGCUGCGGACACUUUACUGUGUUGUGAUGUGUUGCGACUGUAGUCUUCGUCACAUACUUCGCUCUGCAAUGCCCGAACGAGUGAGAUCGCAAAGCAUUGGCUAAUUUCAGUUCAGUACUUACUAGUUUGCGACUUUUUACAGUAAUACAACCGAGGGACCUCGUGCACUAAGCGGCCACGACCACAGCCAGUGACCGCAGCGUCCAAGUAAAAUUAUUACACAUCGCGCACUUGGCUUUAUCUGGCUUUUGCGGCUAUUGGCCGGGUCGAGGCCGCUUAGUGCUUGAAUUCCCUAAAACCUAUUACUUGUAUAUCUAAGGAUCGAAUAAUCCUAAUAUACUGUCAGUGAAUUAGUAGGUAAACUACUUAAAAAUGUACUAUAAUUAAACAAAAUUAAAAUACGUAGAUAUGCAUUAUUAUCAAUUUAAAAAUACGUAAUUAGUGAAACCUGCACUUUUUAUAAUAUCCCAAAUUUUGCAUUAAACAAUAUUUGAUAAUAUUUUUGCAUACCUUACUAGAAUCAAAUAAAUAGGUAGGUACCAUUUAAAAGGAUGAAUCUUUGUUCUAAGCUCUAGGGAUUGACUUUGACGACUAGCUUUAUCGAUAUUUUUGUAGGUAAAUAACUAAUAAGAAUAAUAAUAACUAACCAAAUACCUAAUAUAUAAACCAAAUAUAUAAUAUAUAAACUUCUUACUUUUCUAGUAAGUACAUUUAGGUCUUUUUGAGCCAUUUAUUCCCCAACAUUUAAAUAUACUAGUCUAGCCUAGACACACGAGUAUUAUUUGUAGCAAUAAGCACUUAAUUUAAACAAGUUCAAUGUUAAUAGGAUUUAUCACUAGAAUAACGAACUACAAUUUAAUUCUUACUUAAUUUAUUUAAAAAAUCCCAUUCCUUCUUAUAGAUAAUUUUUAGGCAUUGACGAACACCGCGUGAUUGCAACAUGUUUACAGUGGGUCGUAGUUGUAAUACUAGAACUCGACAAAUCCAUUCACAUUAUGCUGUCUACUUCUAAAAAGCGGUUAGCUACAAAAGAGUUACCUACAUAUCACCAAAAAACAUGAAAAAAACUAAGUUAAACCCUUGAUCCCGCCUAGCAUACUUUUUACGGAUAAGGGAGCCAACGGGAUAACAUAUUGUAUUACCAAGCCGUCGCUGUCCGUCCGUUCAUAUGUCAGCAGGCUGUAACUCAUGAACUGUACUUGAUACAUAGCUAGACGUGAAAUUUUCACAUAGUGUGUAUUUUGAUUGCCGCUAUAACAACAAAUAGUAAAAAAACCAAAAAUAUGGGUCAAAACGGCAGCCAUGCAAAUUAAGAAAAUUCAAAAGUAUUGUAUCUUGUACGGAACUCUUCGUUUGCAAGUCAGACUCGUACCUCCGUUUUGCUGUUAACCUCUUUUUAGAAACGCGGCAGCACUGCAGAGCGCACCCAGCAGUCUUAAGACGCUAUAGUGCUUCGUGUCUACCCUGACCUUUAUAAGUAGAUGUUUUUGUUUUAUUUGGUAUUAUAAUAUUAUGUUCUGCCAAAAAAAAAUAGCGUUGUUAAAGGCCAACAAAAAUACUUACUCUUAUAAUAUUAAUAAUAAAAACGAUCGAUGAUGAUAUAACAGAUUGCCGUGCUUAUGAUAUGUAGAAAGACGUUUUCUAAUACAAAAAUACUUAUAUUACUUUGUAACCAUAAAACCAGUAGAAUUUAAUAUUGACGUACCGGCCAGUUUCUUCAUGAACAACUAAAGUAAUCAGUAAAAGUAUUAACUUUUACUUGACCAUUACUGGAGUUUAGGUAAAUG